CUCUGAUGUCCAUGUCCUUUCCUGGAACCUGUGACUUCCUCACCGUACACAGCCAAAUGGGCUUGGCAGGUUUGAGCUAGUUGAGGAUGGAAAGACUCUGGCUUUGGUGUUCCUGGCAGAAGGUCCAACUGACUCUGCUGUGCCUGGAACAGUGGCUUCCACCUGUCUCCCCUGACCUGUGGAUUCCAAACCGUGAGCUUCUGGAGCUCUUUUAGGGGAGAGGCCUCAAGUGCUUCAGGAAAGGAGACCCAAGGGCACUGUGAACCAGUCCCUAGGCCCUGCGGAUGCCCCACCUGCCCUGUAUCAGACCAGGAUCCCAGGCUCCACCUGGCGUCUGAACCUUCACGUCUCACUAGAAUGGGCAGAUGGCAUCAGAACCUGGUUCAAGGGACCAAAGCCCAGGCUCAGCCUCACUAACCUGGCAGGUCAACAUUCACUGGCAUUAGAAAUAAGACUGUCUUCUCGAGUCUCCCAGAGAGGCCGAGAUAUGGAGCCCUCUGACUCCUACCUUAGCUGCCUAUACAGACUCACAGAUAGUUCAAGCCCAAAUGUGUCCAGACAGCUGUGCUCUCACAACGCCCCCAGCCUGCUCCAUGUUCCUCUUUAACGGUCCCUGACCUCUGUCCUCGAAGGAUGCUCAGCACGAUUCCUGGAGUCAAGGUCCACACCUCCCUCUCUCACACUCACAUCCUGGAGAUCCCAUCACUCCGUUUCUCAACAGCAUUGAAUCUGCUCAAUUCACCAGCCAGGCCCACGAGAAGAGCUGCAGGUUUGCACGGAUAGUCCAGAUUCCCAACCCCUGCUGCCUGUCCAGGGAGCAGGCAGAGGUCCCCUCAAAACUGAAUGUCAGACCAUCACAUUCUCUGCCUCAGAACUUGCCAAUGCUCUCUCCCCAUCUCCCUGAGGAGUAAGAGCCCAUAUCCUGAAGGGAGCCAGGAUACGCUCACCCACCACCUGACUCCCAGUCAGUGUUCCCUUCUGCCAGGGCUAAGGCAGGGUCUAGCAGCUUCCCACCAGACAUCCCCCUGGCUGGCUUUGGCCUUCUUUCAACACUUUGUUUAAGCAAUGAAACGCCACUUCAUACCCACUAUGAUGGUGACUAUUAGCAAACCAAACCCAAAAGCUUCCGACUAACUUUCCCUGGGCACCCAGCAGGUGCGAACCCUCUCACAAUGGCUGUUGGUGCUAAUGGAUUUCUCCAUGUAGCCCCAGAUGUCCUGAAACUUGUUCUGUGGACCAGAAAGACCUGGAACAGAUCCACCACCUCUGCCUCCCAAGUGCUGGGAAACAAAGGCACCACCAGUAACUGGCUGGUUUUUGUUUUGUUUUUAUAGGUUCUAGUGGAUUUGGGGUAGAUUUCUGAGGACUUUCUAUGUAUAACACCACGUUGGGAAUGGAGGGAACACGGUUCAGUGGUUAAGAACAUUUGUUGCUCUUCCAGAGGACCCGAGUUUGACUCUGAGCACCUUUUAUCAAGAAAUUCACAACUGCAUGUAACCCAGCUCCAGGAGAUUCGAUAUCAUCUUCUGGCCUCCAUGGGUAACCAUGAAGACAUGGCACACAGACACAAAAAUGAAGAUUAAAAAGAUCUUUUUUUUUAAGAUCAGGGAGGAGGAGGGGGAAAGGUUCAUACUGUGAAUAAAUAGAGACGCUGUCUCCCGUCUCCAGUA